UACGUAGGGGGCAAGCGUUAUCCGGAUUUACUGGGUGUAAAGGGAGCGUAGACGGCCAGACAAGUCAGAAGUGAAAGCCCAGGGCUCAACCCUGGGACUGCUUUUGAAACUGCCGGGCUGGAGUGCAGGAGAGGUAAGCGGAAUUCCUAGUGUAGCAGUGAAAUGCGUAGAUAUCGAGAGGAACACUCGUGGCGAAGGCGGGUUCCUGGACAUUAACUGACGCUGAGGCACGAAGGCCAGGGGAGCGAAAGGG
rnacentral:rRNA from 1 species